rnacentral:rRNA from 1 species
UACAGAGGGUGCGAGCGUUGUCCGGAAUCACUGGGCGUAAAGGGCGCGUAGGCGGCCUGAUAAGUCGGGGGUGAAAUCCUGUGGCUUAACCACAGGGCUGCCUCCGAGACUGUCGGGCUCGAGCACAGUAGAGGCAGGUGGAAUUUCCGGUGUAGCGGUGAAAUGCGUAGAUAUCGGAAGGAACAUCAGUGGCGAAAGCGACUUCCUGGACCAGUACCGACGUUCAGGCACGAAAGCGUGGGGAGCAAACAGG